GGUGGUAUGGCUAAGCGGUAAAGCAGGGGAUUGCAAAUCCCUGAUCCCCAGUUCGAAUCUGGGUACCACCU
rnacentral:tRNA from 1 species